rnacentral:rRNA from 1 species
UGCCUGUUGAUACCCUAAUAAUAGGUAAGUCCUGCCCAGUGAAUUCUUAAACGGCCGCGGUAUCCUGACCGUGCAAAGGUAGCAUAAUCAUUUGCCUUUUAAUUAAAGGCUGGUAUGAAUGGAUAGACGAAAGAUCAACUGUCUCCUUUAUAUAUAUAAAAAUUAACCCCUAGGUGAAGAGGCCUAGAUUCAUUUAAAAGACAAAAAGACCCUGAUGAGCUUCACUCAAAAUAAAGACAAACAAUUACCCUUCUUCUUUUCUAGAGUUUUGUUGGGGCGACAGUGGAGCAAAAAAAACCUCCUUAUAAAUUAAGAUACCCAAUCUAAUACAAGACCCUCCUUUGAUCACAGAAAAUAGCUACCACAGGGAUAACAGACUAAUUUCCCUCAAAAGUCCACAUNAACAGGGAAGAUUGGCACCUCGAUGUU